rnacentral:rRNA from 1 species
UACAGAGGUCCCGAGCGUUGUUCGGAUUCAUUGGGCGUAAAGGGUGCGUAGGCGGCGGGGCAAGUCUGAUGUGAAAUCCCGGGGCUCAACCCCGGAACUGUAUUGGAUACUGCCUUGCUAGAGUACUGGAGAGGGAACUGGAAUUUACGGUGUAGCAGUGAAAUGCGUAGAGAUCGUAAGGAAGGCCAGUGGCGAAGGCGAGUUCCUGGACAGUUACUGACGCUGAGGCACGAAGGCCAGGGGAGCAAACGGG